rnacentral:RNase_P_RNA from 1 species
GAAGCGCGCCAGACCGUCGCUGGUGCAAGGCCCGAAAGGGCGCACUGGAGGAACGUCCGGACUGCACAGGACAGCGUAGGAGGUAACACCUCUCCACCGAUCAGCUUGAGGAGUUCGCUCCAAGGGCCCUAAGGUGAGGAUCAGAGCAACAGAGACGAGCCGCUUCAGUGCGGGUGAAACGGGCAAUCUCUACGCGCAGCAAUACCAAAUAGGCCAACGUUGACGUGGUUCCGCGGAGUUGGCGGGUAGGUAGCACCGAGCCGGGUGGGCGACCCCCGGCCCAGAUGAAUGGCGGUCACGUUCGGGGUCUUCGCAAGAGGGGUCCGAACGCACAGAAUCCGGCGUAACGGCGCGCUUCACAC